UACGAAGGGGGCUAGCGUUGCUCGGAAUUACUGGGCGUAAAGGGAGCGUAGGCGGAUAGUUUAGUCAGAGGUGAAAGCCCAGGGCUCAACCUUGGAAUUGCCUUUGAUACUGGCUAUCUUGAGUAUGGGAGGGGUGUGUGGAACUCCGAGUGUAGAGGUGAAAUUCGUAGAUAUUCGGAAGAACACCAGUGGCGAAGGCGACACACUGGCCCAUUACUGACGCUGAGGCUCGAAAGCGUGGGGAGCAAACAGG
rnacentral:rRNA from 1 species